GAUGAAGAAUGUAGCGAAAUGCGAUAAGUAAUGUGAAUUGCAGAAUUCAGUGAAUCAUCGAAUAUUUGAACGCACAUUGCGCCCGCUAGUAUUCUGGCGGGCAUGCCUGUCCGAGCGUCAUUUCAACCCUCAAGCCCCCGGGCUUGGUGUUGGGGAUCGGCGAGCCUCCGCGCCCGCCGUCCCCUAAAUCUAGUGGCGGUCUCGCUGUAGCUUCCUCUGCGUAGUAGCACACCUCGCACUGGGAAACAGCGCGGCCACGCCGUUAAACCCCCAACUUCUGAACGUUUGACCUCGGAUCAGGUAAGGAUACCCGCUGAACUUAAGCAUAUCAAUAAGCGGAGGA
rnacentral:misc_RNA from 1 species